GCCAUGCCGCGUGUGUGAAGAAGGCCUUCGGGUUGUAAAGCACUUUCAGUUGUGAGGAAGGUGGUGUCGUUAAUAGCGGCAUCAUUUGACGUUAGCAACAGAAGAAGCACCGGCUAACUCCGUGCCAGCAGCCGCGGUAAUACGGAGGGUGCGAGCGUUAAUCGGAAUUACUGGGCGUAAAGCGCAUGCAGGUGGUUUGUUAAGUCAGAUGUGAAAGCCCGGGGCUCAACCUCGGAACUGCAUUUGAAACUGGCAGACUAGAGUACUGUAGAGGGGGUAGAAUUUCAGGUGUAGCGGUGAAAUAGCGUAGAGAUCUGAAGGAAUACCGGUGGCGAAGGCGGCCCCCUGGACAGAUACUGACACUCAGAUGCGAAAGCGUGGGGAGCAAACAGGAUUAGAUACCCUGGUAG
rnacentral:rRNA from 1 species